rnacentral:lncRNA from 1 species
CUUGGCUCCCUCAUUUUGGAGCAUCAAAAUCUCUCUCUUCUUUAGUUUUAGGUUAGUUUUUCAUACCUUGUACAUAGUUAUUUGAGUUUUGUGUAAGAGAAAGGUGUGUAGCCACUUAGGUUUCACCAAAACCGAAGUUUCUACACACUUUGAUCAAUCACUUCUCUUGUUUCUCACAUAUUCAAGCCUUGUUCUUACUUUUCUUGAGAUUUUGUGGAUUUGUAUAGUGAUUUGGGUUCUAAAAACCAAAAUCCCUAUACUUUGAAGCAUUUCUCUUCUCAUAUAGCAUCUAGGAGGCAAGGGAGACAUCUUGUGCUUUCGAUUUGGCUCCAAAAAGAGCCAAACCCAUGGUUGAAUUUGGGGCUAGGUCCAAACUUGUGCACAAAACAAUGUAA